ensembl:snRNA
GUGUUGUAUAAAAGGAGAAAAGGUUAGCAGUCCCCUCGACAAGGAUGGAAGGGGGCUU